UUAUGUGGGACAAUGAAAGAAAACGCGCUCUAGGGGAUUUGGAUUUCUUUCAUUUUGGGAACCAACAAGUAAGCGAAGAUAUAUGUUGGACUGAAGAGUCCUUUAUACCCACCCCUCCUUUUAAGAUAGAAAUUGGAUCGAAAGUAGGAAAAUUUAAUGCAACUGGGCAGCAAAGGUGUUGGAUUAGGUGACAAACAGAGGGUAAUACUCAUAGUGUUGUUUAUUUCAAAUGGUGUUCAACAAUAAGAAGCCAGCAAUAAGAAGCCAGGCUGGGGCUUUGAGGUGACUCCUCUACUGUGGAAGUUAUGCGGAGGCUAUGAAAGUGGUACCUUGGAGGAGCUCCUAUAUGUUGAUAUGCCAAGAGAGUAUCAGAAUUUAUAUGCAAAAUCCAUACAAGAAAGUGUUUUUUAGCAAAUUUGAGUUGUCCGUGAUGGUCAGUGACGAAAAGUCUUCUCUGCCGAUUUGAAGGUUUUGUGCAAUGGGAAAUGGAAUGAAGAGGAUGCAUACCUCGAGACAUCAUCAGUAUUAAGCUAGGUGACAUUAUUCUUGUCGAUGCACGUCUGCUUCAAGGAGAUCCUUUAAAUAUUGAUCAAGUGAUUUGGGUGGAUCAUCGAGUGGGCAAGGCAGAUCGGAUAACCGCUUAAAAGGAAAGCUUUGAAAGGUAACUCAUGGAAUAGGUCGGAUGAAGAUCAAGCUAGUACAAGGACCGAACACGCAACUUAUAAAGCUUCCGCUAAUAAAAUAGUUUCUUUUGCUAUGAAACUUAUGUGUAAUAAUUAUAAUAAGGAUUGUUUGAAGGUUUAAAAUCUAUGUAGUUGUUGUUGUGUUAGUGUUUUGUAAAAACGACACUUU